UGGGGAAUAUUGCAUAAUGGAGGGAACUCUGAUGCAGCGACGCCGCGUGAACGAAGAAGGCUUUCGAGUCGUAAAGUUCUUUUAUAUGGGAAGAUAAUGACGGUACCAUAAGAAGAAGCUCGGCUAACUACGUGCCAGCAGCCGCGGGAAUACGUAGGGGGCUAGCGUUGUCCGGAAUCACUGGGCGUAAAGGGUUCGCAGGCGGAAAUGCAAGUCAGGUGUAAAAGGCAGUAGCUUAACUACUGUAAGCAUUUGAAACUGCAUAUCUUGAGAAGAGUAGACGUAAGUGGAAUUUUUAGUGUAGCGGUGAAAUGCUUAGGUCUUAAAAAGAAUACCGGAGGCGGUGGCUACUUACUGGGCUCAUUCUGACGCUGAGAAACGAAAGCAUAGGUGACAAACAGG
rnacentral:rRNA from 1 species